rnacentral:piRNA from 1 species
UCCCACGGCCGCUGGACAACAUGGC